AUAAACAAACUACUUCAUGAACAUCAUUACUACGACGUGUGGAGGGCAACGCAUGUGGGGGAGAGAGGAUAUACUUUCUUCUCCACAGCGCAUAACUCAUACUCUAGGAUAGAUGGAAUACUAAUAACUGGCCAACAUGUGGACCAGGUUAAAGCAUGCACCAUAGAACAGAUUACCUGGUCAGACCACGCCCCAGUAGUGACAACUCUA